rnacentral:rRNA from 1 species
AUACGGAGGGAGCGAGCGUUAAUGGGAAUUACUGGGCGUAGAGCGCGCGUAGGCGGCUUUGUAAGUCGGACGUGAAAGCCCUGGGCUCAACCUGGGAAUGGCAUUCGAUACUGCAGAGCUAGAGUAUGGUAGAGGGAAGUGGAAUUUCCGGUGUAGCGGUGAAAUGCGUAGAUAUCGGAAGGAACACCAGUGGCGAAGGCGACUUCCUGGGCCAAUACUGACGCUGAGGUGCGAAAGCGUGGGGAGCAAACAGGAUUAGAAACCCCGGUAGUCC